UCAGAGCGUAGCUAAAAGCAGGAUAGCAUCUCCCUUACACUGAGAAGGUACCCGUGCAAACCGGGUCGCCCUGAA
rnacentral:tRNA from 1 species